rnacentral:rRNA from 1 species
UACGUAGGGGGCAAGCGUUGUCCGGAAUCAUUGGGCGUAAAGAGCGUGUAGGCGGUCCGGUAAGUCAGCUGUGAAAGUCAAGGGCUCAACCCUUGAAAGCCGGUUGAUACUGUCGGGCUAGAGUCCGGAAGAGGCGAGUGGAAUUCCCGGUGUAGCGGUGAAAUGCGCAGAUAUCGGGAGGAACACCAAUGGCGAAGGCAGCUCGCUGGGACGGUACUGACGCUGAGACGCGAAAGCGUGGGGAGCAAACAGGG